rnacentral:tRNA from 1 species
GUCCAGGGAUGGGAAUCGAACUUCCAGUGUUCCGCUUACCGGGCAGAUGUCAUGUCCACUAGGCUACCCUGAA